rnacentral:lncRNA from 1 species
UAGGUAUUGGGUAAUCAGUAAUACAGAAAAUGUAAUAUAAUUUUGUACUAUGUAGUUUUGGACUUGGGGUAGGAUGAGUUUAAUUUAUGUAGAUUCAUGUCACUAUUCUCAGCCUUCAAUGCAUUGAUUUCUCCAGAUUUUGAUAUAUAUAUAUAUAUAUAUAUACAAACUGCAAUGGGAAUAAAAAGGAUGGUUGUUUCUUCAAGAAUUCUGAGAAAAAAAAAGGGGGUGGGGGGGCAAGAGAGGUUUGAGGAGGCCAUUGGGACUGUUAUCAGUUCUGUGUCUUUUGUUUUCAAGUUGUAAGAAGUCCCUGUUAUGCCAUUUGCUAUGUUGUUUCUGUCCAAUUUUCAGUUGAAAGAGUGGUAGAUUAGAGAAGGAGGAAUGGCUCAGACAUCUGGAUGCAGCUCUGGAGAUAGUAGAUGGUCUCUCAAGGGAAUGACUGCUCUCGUAACUGGUGGAACUAAAGGAAUUGGGUUUGUGAUGUUACCUGUAUUCUAUGUCUUUGGUUUGGACUACACCUUCCUUCCCAUAUAUAAAUGUAUGUAUCAAUUAUGCAGGCAUGCAAUUGUGGAAGAACUGGCUGGACUAGGAGCAACCAUACACACAUGUUCUAGAAAAGAAACCGAGCUCAAUGAAUGCUUGAAGGAUUGGAAAGCUAAAGGUUUUGGAGUGAGUGGUUCAGUGUGUGAUGUAUCCUCUCGGGCCCAAAGGGAGAAGCUAAUGCAGACUAUCUCUUCUGUGUUCAAUGGGAAGUUGAAUAUCCUUGUAAGUUCCUCUAGCCUGUAAAGUUCCAACCUGUGAUCUUAUACAUAAUUUGUUGAACUUAUUACAAUUGAGUUCCCCUGCUUGAAUUUUUGUUGGAUUCAGAUCAACAAUGCUGCUAUAAGUAUUCAGAAACCAACAAUAGAGGUCACAGCUGAAGAGUUCUCAACAAUCAUGGCCACAAAUUUUGAAUCUGUGUACCAUCUGUCCCAAAUCGCACACCCCCUUUUAAAGGCAUCAGGAGCCGGAAGCAUUGUAUUCAUCUCCUCUGUUUCCGGCAUAGUGGCACACAAGAAUAUCUCUGCUUAUUCAGUAACCAAAGGUAUUUCAUCACAUGAUCCAUGGUAUAUUCCAAGUGCUAGGAGUAAAUUCCUAUUUACCAGAGCAAUACUGAACAAGAGAAACAUAUAGAAUUUAUAGCGGUUCUCUUCUAAAGGGAGAGCUACAUCCAUUUUGCCAUUGUAGAUUUUCAUUAUGAAAAAAAAAAAAACCUACAGAACGAUCUCAGGUCUUACAAUAAUUAUCUCAUCUCUGAUUUUCCACAGAGAAAACAGUCACCAUGCAUGUACAAAAUAACUAUAAUAUCCCUUUGAUUGAUUCUCAGUCACCAGGAAAAGUGUAUAUUGUAAUUAGCAAGGCUCCACACAACUGAACAGCAAGUCCUUGGAUUGACCAUCUGUCAUUAUCAUUUUGUGAUUUUUCAGGAGCAAUGAAUCAACUUACAAAGAAUUUGGCAUGCGAGUGGGCGAAAGACAAUAUUAGAAGUAAUGCUGUAGCUCCUUGGUACAUCAAAACUCCAAUGGUGGAGCAGGUAAUUUCUAAUUUCCCUUCACAUCAUUUAGUUGCUCGAAUUCCCUUCUUUUUUUCUUGGUCUGGGAAAAUAGAAUAAUUGACUCGUCCUUCCUUCUCUGUCGUUUACAUUCUCUGGGUUCCAGAUGCUCACUAACCAAGCCUUUCUGGAAGAGGUGAUAAAUCGAGCUCCACUUCGUCGUGUGGGAGAUCCAAAGGAGGUGUCAUCUUUGGUAGCAUUCCUCUGCCUACCGGCAUCAUCUUACAUUACUGGACAGAUUAUUUGUGUUGAUGGUGGCAUGACUGUUAAUGGUUUUGAGUCAAACCUGCUCUAGGAACAUCAUAUGUGAUGGUAUUAUAGCCCUAAUUUGGCUGGCAUGUAUGGAGACUCUUUCAAACAUCUUAGCUUCCUCUACUGCUUCCAUGCCUGGAUCCUUUCUUUUUCCUGAAUAAUCUGCUUGUCAUGCCAAAGUCUUUAGUUUUUUUGGUGUGGGGUUCCCUUGAAAACCUUGCUGCAUGAUGCUUAUAAUAAUGUUUGGAAAGUUUGCUAAUUUUUAUUUGGGUUCAAAUUUUAAUUUUUCAAAAAGUUUCUUAUUAUUUGAUGAGAUUCUUGUGAAGGGUGUUUUUAUAAGGAUUUUAAUUCCAUACAUAAAUCAUACAUCUUUAAUCUCAAUACCAUUGAAAUAUAUAUCCAAUCCUUUGUUGUUCUUUCGUUUUUUUGUAACUUAAUUGUAGUAGGAUCGGAAAUAUGCGAACACUUUCUACUUUUGACCAUUUGCUUUGCUAAAUUAGACCAACUUUUCAUAAUACAAUUCUCAAGUAUUUCUUCAUUUUCAUUACAAUGAUCAUGCAUGGAUAUGGAAAAACUAAUCGGACUCUAAUGUCGUUCAAAUGCAUUUCAUAGAUCAAUCUUCAUCGUCGUAUCCUAAUUUUCAAAACUUGUUAGAACUUCUAAACUUAGUCAAUAUGUAUAGACAUGAUAUCCUCCAUGAUUUUUUUUUAUUGCAACGAAAAAAAGUUAUACAUUCUAUAUUUGAUCCCUAAAUAAAAAAGAAAAAAAGAAAAAAAAAAGAAUGUCUUGCAAAAAUAUUAGGGUUGCACAAAGUUUGGUUGUUAGAAUAAGUAAAAAUGAUGUGCAUCAAAAUAUGUCUUUGAGAAUGGCAAAUAUGUGAGUGCGCUUUAAAAACUCAAAUGGCUUCAAAUGAAUUUCAAGGAAAUGAUUCCAACAUAUAUUCAUCUUCUUAUACCUUUCUGUGCUUCUCCACCAUUUGUAACAAUUUCCUCACUCAUUUGUAAUCCUAAUAAACCUUCCGACCUAUUUUAAAAUUUGUCAAUAUAUUUUAAGCUAAGCUCACCAUCUAUAGUAUCAAAAAAAUUUCUCCUUAAUCCAUGUGGGAUAUGUAUAAUGAAUAAUAUUUGCUCAAAGGUUAAAUAUAUGAAAAUAAUUAAGAUUCAAUCACAUAAAAAUUACAUAUAGCAAGUAGGGAUAACAAUUUUGAUACUAAUAUAAUAAAACGACUAAAAAAUUACAUGGAUUUUAGUAGUUUUGGGUUAAGUAUAAUCAUAUUUAUGUUAUAAUUGUGUAAACACAUUUAUUAAACCAAUGAUAUUGGAAUGUGACUAUUCAACUCAUUUAACCCAUUUAUUUAUUCAUAUCAAAACACAUCUAUGAUAUGAUUAUGAGAACUAAUUUAUGAUUGACAUAACCAAUUUAUAACUUAUUAAUUAAUUCAUAUAAAUUUAUUAAUUUUAUAGAUAUUUAAAAAAUAUUAAAAAUUUAAAACACUUUUUCAAUUAUAAAGAUGUCCUAUAAAACACUAAGGAGGUCACCCUUAUUUAUAUAUGAAAUUAGGGAAUUAAAUUUGAAAUAUAUGAUAUUUGAUUACUUAAUUUAAAGAAUUUGAUUUCUUAAUUUCAAUAACUUUUCAGCCUCAUUUAAGAAAUUUGCCAACAAUCAAAUGUUUUUUCUAAGUCCCUUUUGACUUCAAUUUCCCAAUUUGUUUCUCCUAUUUGAGAAAUCUAUCAAUAAGAAAAUAUUUCUCUCUAAUUCCUUUUUAACUUUAAUUAUUUUAUUUUAUUUUAUAAGACUAGAUUUUGAAACCGUUCAAAUUUUACCGUGUGUUAUUUUUAAAAUCGUAUAUCGCAUGUUCAAUGUGUAGAAUUCAUGACUUAUGAAAUCCAAAUUUUAUUGAACUAUAGGGUUAUAACUUUAGUGACAAAUUUUAUAGUAAUUUAAUCCUUCUUUUAUUUUUAAGCCUACAUAGCUCAACAAGUUGAAUAUAUUUUUAUCGUGUUAAUGGGUUAUCAGUCUUGAUUUAAUUUAAUUUAUCAAAGAGGUUAAAUGAAUGAUUCCCAAUUUGCCACCACAAUAACAAGAGACAACAGACAGAAGGAAAGAGAAACUAAAAUACGUAAUGUGACUUUUCCUUUCAUGUUGCUUACUAUACUUGGUGUCUCUUAAUUUGUUUUUAUUAUAAGAUGUUAAUAAUAUGAUUUUAUUGAUUUAUACCCCAUAUAUAUCAUUUGAGGGAUUGAAAAUAUUGCAAAUUCAUAAUUAAAUUUAAAAGAUAAAUACAUAUACACACACACACAUAUAUAUAUAUAUAUAUAUAUAUAUAUAUAUAUAUAUGAAUAAAAAAAAUCAUCUAUGUAUAAAAUAAUAAUAAGUAGUCUAUUUUUAUCAUUUUUAUGUUAGAAGUUAAUCGAAAACAUAUUUUUUGUUUUUCCAUAAUUUAUACAAAAUUAUAAUAAAAUUUUUAUUCUAGAUAAAAUUAUAUUUUAUAAUUUGUAAUAAUUUAAUUAUAUCAAUUUAAUAUUUUGAUAUCCGUCGUAAAUUAUAUAGAAAUAUUGGAGUGCAAAUACUAAACUACAUAAUAACAACAAGACACCUUAUUCAUCCAAAUUUUCAAAUUUCAAAUAGAAAAUAUUAAAAACAUAAUUUUUAAAUUUAUUAAAAUAUUUAUAUUUGUAAAAAAGUAAUUAAUAAAGAUUUUAAAAUUUUAAAUAUGAUUAAUGAGAUUAUUAUGUGGGUAUUUAUUACUAAUAUUUAAUAUUAAAAAAAAUAAAAUAACAAUAUGAUAUUAAGAUUAUAUUUUUAUAAAUAUAGCAAAAUGAGAUUAUUCUAAAUUCAGUGAUGAUAACAUUAUAGUAAAAAUAAGGAGUGAUAUAAUUAUAAAUAUUUCACUAAGAGCAUAAAAAAUAAAAAAAUAUGGUAAAUUUAGCGAGUAAUAUUGUUACUAUAAAUAUCUGGUGACACGACGACAGAUAUAUGAGUAGAGAAAAACCUCGCUAUUCUACAUAUAGAGAUUCAGAUACCAUUGCCUAUGUCAUGAAAUCAGAGUCCACAAGAAGACAACAUAAAAUGCUAUCGAUCCAUCGCUGUUUCUUGCUCCUGUUAUAAAUUAUGGAUACUAGAUGAAGAUGAGAAGUAGAAGGAGAAGAAACACUUAGCUUUCAAGGAGUCGUAGAGCAGAGGAGGAGACAUGGCUCAGACAUGUGGGUGCAGCUCUGGAGAUAGUAGAUGGUUUCUCAAGGGAAUGACUGCUCUUGUAACCGGUGGAACUAAAGGAAUUGGGUUGGUGUUACCUGUUUUUACGUCUUUGGGUUUGGACUACACCUUCCUAUAUAUAAACGUAUGUAUCAAUUCUGCAGGCAUGCAAUUGUGGAGGAACUGGCUGGAUUAGGAGCAACCAUACACACGUGUUCUCGAAAAGAAAGCGAGCUCAAUGAAUGCUUAAAGGAUUGGAAAGCUAAAGGUUUGGAGUGAGUGGUUCAGUGUGUGAUGUAUCCUCUCGGGCCCAAAGGGAGAAGCUAAUGGAGACUGUCUCUUCUGUGUUCAAUGGGAAGCUGUAUAUCCUUGUAAGUUCCUCUAGUCUCUAAGGUUCCUAUCCAUGAUAUUCCACAUACUUUGUCGAACUUCCUACAAUUUGAGUUCCCCUACUUGAUAUAUAUAUAUAUAUAUAUAUUAUAUACUUUUUUUUAGAACCAGACAGCUUUGGUUUCAAAGACCCUACAUUUACCCAUCAUCCUUGUUAAAUAAUUAUGAGGAAGUCAUACUUACACGUGGAGAUUGAAAAAAAUAAUGAAUGAAUUCCACCAAAUGAAUUAAUUUUGUUUGGCAAUUUCAUUUGAAAAUCAACAAAGAAUGAUGUGAGGUGUGAAUCUUUUUCCAUAUAUCAGCGCACAUAUUCAAAUUCAGCCCUUUCCAUUAAUCUGAUAGCGAUUAUGAGGUUGCGUAGAUGCUACAACAACGACCAAAUGUGAUGAAGAUUUCAGGAAGUGUUGUGAAGAAUUUGAAGAAAAAUAUGAAGAAUUUGAAACAAAAUAUGGAGGAACACCUCAAUUCAUUCUGUGAUACCUUCCUUUACAAUGAAUGAAAGCAUAAAUAAAUAGCCUACGGAUAUGAGACAAUUCCGGAAUGGAAUUUCCCUUACAUGGAAAGUGAAUAAACUCUUACAUGGGAAGUGAAUAAACUACUCUUACAUGGAAAGUGAAUAAACUACCUUGCUAGAAUUACUCCUAAAUAUAUAAACUACUCUUACAUGGAAAGUGAAUAAACUACCUUGCUAGAAUUACUCCUAAAUCAAUUAUAAUAAAGGCUGUACAUUACACUAAUUAGGGAAGUAAACAGAGGAUGCUGGCUUGAUUUCCAACACUCCCCCUCAAGCCGCAUUGUAGAUGUUGAUCAUUCCAAGUUUUUCUGUCAGAUCUUCGAAGUUAACUCGAGCAAGAGCUUUUGUGAGAAUGUCAGCCGUUUGACAGUUUGUCGGAGUGUAGCUGACUUUGAAAACUCCUUCUUCAAUCUUUUCCUUGAUAAAGUGUCGAUCUAUCUCCACGUGCUUAGUUCGAUCAUGAUGAACCGGAUUCUUAGCGAUACUGAUGGCAGCUUGAUUGUCGCAGUAUAACACCAUGGGAUGCUUCAAUGGAACCCGUAAUUCUUCUAACAGCCUGUUCAACCAGAUUCCCUCGCAGAUACCUUGUGCCAUAGCACGAAAUUCUGCCUCAGCACUGCUACGGGCUACCACUGACUGUUUCUUGCUUCGCCAUGUAACCAAGUUCCCUCAGACAAAUGAACAAUAGCCUGAAGUUGAUCUCCGAUCAGUCACUAAACCUGCCCAAUCUGCAUCUGAAAAAAUCUCUAUCUCUUUAUUUGUUGUUCUUUGAAAGAAGAGACCCUUUCCCGGUGUCAUCUUGAGGUAUCUCAAUAUUCUGAUCACAGCAAUCAUGUGUUUUUCGGUUGGAUUAUUCAUGAAUUGACUUACCACACUAACGGAGAAGCCGAUGUCUGGCCUUGUAUGAGAAAGAUAGAUGAGUUUCCCCACAAGACGUUGAUAUCUUCCUUUAUCAACUGGCGCACUUCCAUCACAUUUCUUCCANNNNNNNNNNNNNNNNNNNNNNNNNNNNNNNNNNNNNNNNNNNNNNNNNNNNNNNNNNNNNNNNNNNNNNNNNNNNNNNNNNNNNNNNNNNNNNNNNNNNNNNNNNNNNNNNNNNNNNNNNNNNNNNNNNNNNNNNNNNNNNNNNNNNNNNNNNNNNNNNNNNNNNNNNNNNNNNNNNNNNNNNNNNNNNNNNNNNNNNNNNNNNNNNNNNNNNNNNNNNNNNNNNNNNNNNNNNNNNNNNNNNNNNNNNNNNNNNNNNNNNNNNNNNNNNNNNNNNNNNNNNNNNNNNNNNNNNNNNNNNNNNNNNNNNNNNNNNNNNNNNNNNNNNNNNNNNNNNNNNNNNNNNNNNNNNNNNNNNNNNNNNNNNNNNNNNNNNNNNNNNNNNNNNNNNNNNNNNNNNNNNNNNNNNNNNNNNNNNNNNNNNNNNNNNNNNNNNNNNNNNNNNNNNNNNNNNNNNNNNNNNNNNNNNNNNNNNNNNNNNNNNNNNNNNNNNNNNNNNNNNNNNNNNNNNNNNNNNNNNNNNNNNNNNNNNNNNNNNNNNNNNNNNNNNNNNNNNNNNNNNNNNNNNNNNNNNNNNNNNNNNNNNNNNNNNNNNNNNNNNNNNNNNNNNNNNNNNNNNNNNNNNNNNNNNNNNNNNNNNNNNNNNNNNNNNNNNNNNNNNNNNNNNNNNNNNNNNNNNNNNNNNNNNNNNNNNNNNNNNNNNNNNNNNNNNNNNNNNNNNNNNNNNNNNNNNNNNNNNNNNNNNNNNNNNNNNNNNNNNNNNNNNNNNNNNNNNNNNNNNNNNNNNNNNNNNNNNNNNNNNNNNNNNNNNNNNNNNNNNNNNNNNNNNNNNNNNNNNNNNNNNNNNNNNNNNNNNNNNNNNNNNNNNNNNNNNNNNNNNNNNNNNNNNNNNNNNNNNNNNNNNNNNNNNNNNNNNNNNNNNNNNNNNNNNNNNNNNNNNNNNNNNNNNNNNNNNNNNNNNNNNNNNNNNNNNNNNAUGCAUGAAACGUAGGUGAUAGCUUAUCAUAAGAAAAUAAAAUUUCCAAAUGGGAUGCUGAGUGCAUGAUCUAACUCCUUUCCUCCAAGCUAUGGGCAUAUUAAGAAUAUCAUUUUCUAACUCGGAAUCAACAGUACCAUCAGGAGCGUUGUUACCUGGAAGUUUGCUUGGAUUAGGACCCGGUUCUGCCUCAUGGGUUUGUUGAGAAAGUGAUCUUUCCUCCGUUUCCUCUUGGAUGUGCUCCUUAUCCCACAAGUCAACAAUGGACUCGGGUUGAUUAAAUGACUCUGGAGGAAUGUGAUUUUCAGUGGUGAUGGGUGACUCACUGAAUGACUCAAGAUCCCAAAAUUGAUAUUCCUGAGUUGAAUUCUCCCCCUGAAUAUCGUUUUUGGGAUAGUAAGGCUGGGUUUCAAAAAAGGUGACAUCCAUUGAAUUUUAGAAUUUUCUUGUGACCGGAGAGUAACACUUAUACCCUUUUUGAUUUGAAGAAUACCCAAGAAAGAUGCACUUGAGUGACCUAGGAUCAAGUUUACUUCUAUGUUGUUGAUUGAUAUGAACAAAGAUAGAGCACCCGAAAAUUUUAGGUGGGACGGUGGAGAUGAGACGAGUAGUCGGAAAGGAUUUUAGGAGUGUUUGACAAGGUGUUUGGAAUUUUAGUACCCUAGACGGCAUCCUAUUGAUGAGGUAGGCUGCCAUAAGGACAGCUUGCCCCCAGAAUAAUUUUGGAACAUUCAUGGAGAACAUUAGUGAUCUAGCCACCUCUAACAAAUGCCUAUUUUUCCUUUCAGCGAUUCCGUUUUGUUGUGGGGUAUCAACACAUGAAUUUAAGUGAACUAUCCCUUCUUGUGCUAGAAAUUCUCCUAGAAUGGAGUUGAAAUAAUCCCUAGCAUUAUCAGACUUUAGAAUUUGUAUUUUUGACUGGAAUUGAGUCUGAAUCAUAUUUUUAAAAUUUUUGAAAAUUUGACUCGUUUCAGAUUUUUCUUUCAUGAGGAAUACCCAAGUUAAUCUAGUGUGAUCAUCUAUGAAUGAGACAAACCACCUAGUACCAGUUACAUUUUUUAUUCUUGAUGGACCCCAGAUAUUGCUAUGAAUCAUUGAGAAUGGACUAGACUCUUUAUAGGGUUGAAUGGGAAAAUGAGACCGGACUUGCUUUGAUAAUUGACAGAUUUCACACUCAAAGGAUUUUGGAUUUUUAUUAAAUAAUGAAGGAAAUAAAUGCUUGAGAUACAUAACAUUUGGAUGACCUAAGCGAUAGUGCCACAACCUAAUUGCACUAUCGUUAUUUUGACAUGAAACCAAAAAAGAAUUACUACCAACUGUCAUUUGAGGUUGUUCUUGUGGAUCGUGGCGCUCCUUAAGGAUGUAGAGUCCAGAGCAUUCCUCAGCAUUGCCAAUCGUCUUCCCCGAAUCCAAAUCCUGAAAUUCACAGUGAGUGGAGGAAAAAUUAGUAGAUACACCUCUUUUCCUUAGUGAGUUUACUAANNNNNNNNNNNNNNNNNNNNNNNNNNNNNNNNNNNNNNNNNNNNNNNNNNNNNNNNNNNNNNNNNNNNNNNNNNNNNNNNNNNNNNNNNNNNNNNNNNNNCGUCAUAUGAUCAGAUGCUCCUGAGUCCACUAUCCAAGGUUUUUUACGUUUCUUACCAGCAGUGAAGGCACUCAAAAAAUUACCUUUGUGAGCCAAGGUUCCGGAACCAAUGACCUGGUUGGAAGAUGAGCCAGUUUGUGACUGUACUGACAAAAGAGGAGACAGUAGUUUCUGAAGCAUCUCCAUCUGAUGAGAGGAUGAAGACGAUGAGAUGAUGAUAUCAGAAGUAGAGGAUGAUGAGUUGGUAGCCAUUCCAAAGGCUGGACCGUAUUUAGGCAUAAAUUAGAAGAAUAGAAUUGAGUAAAAAAAAACUGACUAAAGAUGAAGACGAUGAGACAGGAUUAAACCUGCUCUGAUACCAUGAAGAAUUUGAAGAAAAAUAUGAAGAAUUUGAAAACAAAAUAUGGAGGAACACCUCAAUUCAUUCUGUGAUACCUUCCUUUACAAUGAAUGAAAGCAUAAAUAAAUAGCCUACGGAUAUGAGACAAUUCCGGAAGGGAAUUUCCCUUACAUGGAAAGUGAAUAAACUCUUACAUGGGAAGUGAAUAAACUACUCUUACAUGGAAAGUGAAUAAACUACCUUGCUAGAAUUACUCCUAAAUCAAUUAUAAUAAAGGCUGUACAUUACACUAAUUAGGGAAGUAAACAGAGGAUGCUGGCUUGAUUUCCAACAUGUUGGAGUGCGCAUGCUUGAGGAUGAAAACUGUGAACUUGAAAUGACUUAGAAGAUUAAUUUAAGUUUUCAAAUACAUAAAAUAUAAUUAAUAACAUAACUUAAUACAAUAAGUUAAGGCUUCCUAAAGUCUUAAAAUAAAUAACUUUUUCCCAACCUGAAAUAUCCUUUGCCUUGGUAAUAUUCAUGUUCUUCAAGAUCAAAAUUAGUUUGUUUGAUAUAUAAUUCAAAUUAAAAGAUGGAGGGUGUGCCGGGUCCUUUCUAAAUUCAAAAUGGCAUCAUGAAUCAGGUAAGGUUGUGCCCCACGGAUGAAAAUAUAGUAUUAGUUUGGACAAUGUGCCAUGGAAAGAAGAUAGAUUAAGUUCUACAUAUUCAUAUCAGUUGUCUCAGCUUUCACGGCAGACAUUUUCGACGCAAGAGACCGUCUCUUGCGGUGAGUAUUAACCACACUUCUAAAGUUGGAUGUUCGAGAAGACAACUGGGAUUGAUCAGUUUUGUCUCUUUUAUUUUCAGCUUCCUAGAAUCUCUCUCUCUAUCUCUCUUUUUUUUUUCUCAAGGUUAAUGUCAUUUUCUAUGUUGUGGUAGAGUAGAGAAGAACUCAGAAGGCAUGGCACAGACUGGCUGCAGCAAUGGAGAUAAUAGAUGGUCUCUCAAGGGAAUGACAGCCCUUGUAACGGGUGGAAUGAACUUUGAUCUGUCUCUGCCAAUUAUCACCUUGUUUUUAUAUCAAUUCUGCAGGCAUGCUGUUGUGGAAGAACUGACUGGAUUAGGUGCAAGAAUACAUACAUGUUCUCGAACAGAAACUGGGCUUAAUGAAUACUUAAGGGAUUGGGAGGGUAAAGGUUUUGAAGUCACUGGCUCAGUCUGUGAUGUAUCCUCUAGGGCCCAAAGAGAGAAGCUAAUGGAGACAGUAUCUUCUAAGUUUAAUGGGAAGCUGAAUAUCCUUGUUAGUUCCUCUAGUUUGUUAAAUGUGACCCAUCCAUUUUAGAAUCAUUUUCACUAAAUAUAAUUGAUGAGUUACCCUAACUGAAUCUUUGAAUUUAGAUCAACAACGCUGGAACUGGCAAACCGGGACGGACAGUGGAGUUCGCAGCUGAAGAGUUCUCAACGGUCAUGGCUGUAAAUUUUGAAUCUGUGUAUCAUCUAUGCCAACUUGCGCAUCCCCUUCUGAAGGCCUCAGGAGCGGGAAGUAUUGUGCUCAUGUCUUGUGUUUCAGGUGUAGUAUCACUCAAGUAUCUAUCUGCCUAUGGAGCAACCAAAGGUACUUCAUGCCACCAUCGGGUUUAUGUUGCAGGUCCUGUGUUGUUGGACAAGAUGAUAGAUAUUUACCUUUAAAAUUUUUCUUUCGGGGGCACUGAAUCAGCUUGCAAAGAACUUGGCAUGCGAGUGGGCGCAAGACAAUAUCAGGACAAACUCUGUUGCCCCUCGGUACAUCAAAACUUCUCUGGUAGAACCUGUGAGUUUAAUUCCCUUCACCUCAUUUAAAAGUUGCUGUUGUUUUCAUUGGGAAAACUGAUUAAUAAACCAAUCUUCUGUUUUGUUUUCUUUUAUUUUUUUGGUUGUAUCAUUUUGGUUUCAGUUUCUUAGUGAGAAAAGCUUUACGGAAGAGGUAAUAAGAAGAACUCCGCUUGGUCGAGUGGGGGAUCCAAAGGAGGUGUCAUCCUUGGUAGCAUUCCUCUGCCUACCAGUAUCAUCUUACAUUACUGGCCAGACCAUUUGUGCUGAUGGUGGGAUGAAUGUUAAUGGUUUCGAUCCGAGUCAAUGCUAGAAACAACUAGCAUUUAUAUAAUUGUUGUUUUCUCAUAUUUUUCAUACUCACUCUAAUAUUCUUCAUUAUCAUAUUUAUAUAUAUAUAUAUAUAUAGAUAUAUAUAUAUAUUUAUGUAGGUGUACGUGCACACGUGUGUUCAUGUGCGGAUCAUGGACAUUUUUUUUGUAUUCUGUCAUAUUCUUCUUACACUCUCAAAAUAUUCAUAUAUUUUUUACAAUCUUCAUGCAUUUUUUUUUUUUAAUUCUUGAUAUUCUCUCAUAUUCUUUGUAUAAUUUAUAUUGGAAAAAUGAAUAAAAAAAAUAUGGUUUAAAAUUGAUAAAAUAAGAAUAAAAGAUAUAAAAAUAAAAUAAAAUGAUAGAAAAAUAUCAAUAUUAGAGGAAGAUAUACUUGGAUAAUUAGACGCUAAAACCUUGAAGAUGCAAACAUAGUAUGUGGCUAUUUAAUGAGGAACUUAAGGAAUUUGUUCAAUAAUAGUAGCUACCAUGGGAUUAAAGGAUAGUGUAAACGAGUCCGAGGGAGAAACAAUUUUAAUAAAAAAUUAAUUAAAAAUUUAUAUAUUUGUAAUAAAAAUUUGAAAUAAGUUAAAUUAAUUUAAAAUGAUAUAUAAAAAUGAUUUACUGCUUUAAAUCUAUUUUUAUUUUUUAUUUUUUUUUCAUUUCUUUUUUACUUUUUCUUUAUAUAUAUAUAUAUAUAUAUAUAGAUAUAGAUAUAGAUAUAUAUAUUAUAUAUUUUUUUGAGAACCAGCCAGCUUUGGUUUCAAAGACCCUACAUUUACCCACCAUCCUUGUCAAAUAAUUAUGAGGAGCUCAUGCUUACAUGUGGAGAUUGAAAAAAAAUAAUGAUUGAAUUCCACCAAAUGAAUUAAUUUUGUUUGGCAAUUUCAUUUGAAAAUCAACAAAGAAUGAUGUGAUGUGUGAAUCUUUUUCCAUAUAUCAGCGCACAUAUUCAAAUUCAUCCCUUUCCAUUAAUCUGAUAGCGAUUAUGAGGUUGCGUAGAUGCUACGACGACGACCAAAUGUGAUGAAGAUUUCAGGAAGUGUUGGAGUGCGCAUGCUUGAGGACCAAAACUGUGAACUUGAAAUGACUAUUGAAUGCUACCAUAUGAAAUUCGGCCUGAAUCUUUUUCCAAUUCAAAUGCAGGCAGUUCCAUUAAUUUGAUAGAUAUUAUGAGGUUGCCUAUCAUGCUAAGAUAACCAAAUCCGAUGAGAAGUUCAAGAAGUGUUUUGAGUGUGUUUUAGUACUGACACCAUGAAUUCAAAAACAAAUAUAACAUAGAAACACAAAUCAAAACCCAUCACAUGAUGAUAUAGUCGAUAGGAAAUUUGCUUUCUUAAACCAUGCCACGUCCCAUGAAAAAGAAAAUUAAGAAAAUUACAAAUUUUACUUCGAUGGGCUCACAUGCUAUGUGAACCGUCCACUUAAUCGAGGUUAAGAUUAUCUUCAUUUACUUAGAAGAUAAUAAUGAAUUUUUCAAGUAAAAUUUUUUGAGAACCAGACAGCUUUGGUUUCAAAGACCCUACAUUUACCCAUCAUCCUUGUUAAAUAAUUAUGAGGAAGUCAUACUUACACGUGGAGAUUGAAAAAAAUAAUGAAUGAAUUCCACCAAACGAAUUAAUUUUGUUUGGCAAUUUCAUUUGAAAAUCAACAAAGAAUGAUGUGAGGUGUGAAUCUUUUUCCAUAUAUCAGCGCACAUAUUCAAAUUCAGCCCUUUCCAUUAAUUUGAUAGCGAUUAUGAGGUUGCGUAGAUGCUACGACGACGACCAAAUGUGAUGAAGAUUUCAGGAAGUGUUGGAGUGCGCAUGUUUGAGGACGAAAACUGUGAACUUGAAAUGACUUAGAAGAUUAAUUUAAGUUUUCAAAUACAUAAAAUAUAAUUAAUAACAUAACUUAAUACAAUAAGUUAAGGCUUCCUAAAGUCUUAAAAUAAAUAACUUUUUCCCAACCUGAAAUAUCCUUUGCCUUGGUAAUAUUCAUGUUCUUCAAGAUCAAAAUUAGUUUGUUUGAUAUAUAAUUCAAAUUAAAAGAUGGAGGGUGUGUCGGUCCUUUCUAAAUUCAAAAUUGCAUCAUCAAUCAAUCGGAUAAGGUUGUGUCCGACGGAUGAAAAUGUAAUAUUAGUUUGGACAAUGUGCCAUGGAAAGAAGAUAGAUAGAUUAAGUUCUACAUAUUCAUAUCAGUUGUCUCAGCUUUCACGGCAGACAUUUUCGACGCAAGAGACUGUCUCUUGCGGUGAGUAUUAACCACACUUCUAAACUUGGAUGUUCGAGAAGACAACUGGGAUUGAUCAGUUUUGUCUCUUUUAUUUUCAGCUUCCUAGAAUCUCUUUUUUUUUUUUUUCUCAAGGUUAAUGUCAUUUUCUAUGUUGUGGUAGAGUAGAGAAGAGCUCAGAAGGCAUGGCACAGACUGGCUGCAGCAAUGGAGAUAAUAGAUGGUCUCUCAAGGGAAUGACGGCCCUUGUAACGGGUGGAACUAGAGGAAUCGGGUCCGUGUUACCUGUUUUUCUGUUCUGGAAUGAACUUAAUUUGAUCUGUCUCUGCCAAUUAUCACCUUGUUUUUAUAUCAAUUCUGUAGGCAUGCUGUUGUGGAAGAACUGACUGGAUUAGGUGCAAGAAUACAUACAUGUUCUCGAACAGAAACUGAGCUUAAUGAAUAUUUAAGGGAUUGGGAGGGUAAAGGUUUUGAAGUCACUGGCUCAGUCUGUGAUGUAUCCUCUAGGGCCCAAAGAGAGAAGCUAAUGGAGACAGUAUCUUCUAAGUUUAAUGGGAAGCUGAAUAUCCUUGUUAGUUAACCUCUAGUUUGUUAAAUGUGGCCCAUCCAUUUUAGAAUCAUUUUCAUUAAAUAUAAUUGAUGAGUUACCCUAACCGAAUCUUUGAAUUUAGAUCAACAACGCUGGAACUGGCAAACCGGGACGGACGGUGGAGUUCACAGCUGAAGAGUUCUCAAGUAUCAUGGCUGUAAAUUUUGAAUUUGUCUACCAUCUAUGCCAACUUGCUCAUCCCCUUUUGAAGGCAUCAGGAGCGGGAAGUAUUGUGCUCAUGUCUUCUGUUGCAGGUGUAGUAUCACUCAAGUAUUUAUCUGCCUAUGGUGCAACCAAAGGUACUUCAUUCUACCAUAGGGUUUAUGUUGCAGGUCCUGAGUUGUUGGACAAGAUGAUAGAUAUUUACCUUGAUAAUUUUGCUUCAGGGGCACUGAAUCAGCUUGCGAAGAGCUUGGCAUGCGAGUGGGCGCAAGACAAUAUCAGGGCUAACUCUAUUGCUCCUUGGUUCAUCAAAACUUCUCUGGUAGAACCUGUGAGUACCCUUCACCUCAUUUGAAGUUGCUGUUGUUUUCAUUGGGAAAACUGAUUAAUAAACUAAUCUUCUGUUUUGUUUUCUUUUAUUUUUUUGGUUGUAUCAUUUUGGUUUCAGUUUCUUAGUAAGAAAAGCUUUACGGAAGAGGUAAUAAGAAGAACUCCGCUUGGUCGAGUGGGGGAUCCAAAGGAGGUGUCAUCCUUGGUAGCAUUCCUCUGCCUACCAGCAUCAUCUUACAUUACUGGCCAGACCAUUUGUGUUGAUGGUGGGAUGAGUAUUAAUUGUUUCGAUCCAAGUCAAUGCUAGAAACACCUAGCAUUUAUAUUAAUAUAUGUUGUUUUCUCAAAACCGCUUCUGUUUUUGGGAUUAUUUGCUCGUGAUAGUGACCUUGUGGUCCUAGGAUUAAUGCAUGGUUACCAAAUAUUAAGUCUAUGCUUCCAAUAAAUAUUAAAAAAUUUCUUAUUAUUCAAUCACGGAUUUCUACCUUCUUCUCCGGUCAUAGAUACUGUUUAGGUCUCCGGUGCAUUCCCCGCUCACCCACCUACAUCUGAUUGGUUGCAACGUUCAAUCACGGAUUUCUUAUUAUUCAUAUAUCUUUUAGUACAUUUUUUCAAAUUCUUGAUAUUUAUUCGUAUUAUUUGUAUAAUUUAUAUAAGAAAAAAUGAUUUAAAAUAAAAAUAUAUGGUUUAAAAUUGAUAAAAUAUCAUGAAUAACGUUUUACAAUCCAUAAGAUACAAAAAUAAAACAAACUGAUAGAAAAAUAUCGACAUUGGUUAAAAAUAAUUAAGUUAAUCGCGAGUAUAACUAAAUCAUCUCAACUUGAUGAAUGAUAAAUUCAUUUAUAAAAAAAUUUAAAAUAAAAAACCUAUUAAUUAUUGAAAAUUCAAAUAUGAUUUGAUAUAAAUGUUUUGUUAUGAAAUUUACAUUUGUAUGAAAAAAUAGUAAACUUUUCUUAAGGUUCGUAGUCCCCUGGAAACAUUUUUUAGUAUUUUUUUCGAGAGGUACAAAUUUCUUGCUUACUUUAAUAUAUUUAAGACACAAAAUUUGACAUAUAUAUUUGAUCCAUCAAUCAAAACUCCCAUCCCACACACAUUUUGUAAAGUUAGAGCCAUUAGUUUUUAUAUUCAAUUUUUACCUCUUUUUUUGCAUAUUUUAAUAAGAAUAAAUUAGAUGUUGUAAUUUCUUAUUUUAAAUAAGAGUAUGAUACCACAUUAAACGAUAAAAUAAAAAUUGUAUAUAUGUGAAAUAUAUGUCAUUAUUCAUCUUGAUAUGUAUUAUACUGUUUACCUCUUCAACAAGUUUUGUAAAAUUUUUUGUUUUGUAGUAAGUAAAGUGUGGAGAGUUACCCUCAAAGACAUGGGAUUUAAAAGAAAUAAGAAAAAGAGAAAAAUGUCAAAUAUUUCUUAUUAUAAUCACUUGAAAAAUAAGUCCAAUACACGUGGAGUUGAAAUAGGUUUACAAUCAAAGGAAGUAAAAGAAAAAAAGAUAAACUAAUCUUUCCUUGCUCCAAAAAAGAAAGAUAAUAAUGUUGAUGUGGUAAAUAAAUUAAUAAUUUUAACAUCUCCCCACAAACUCAUAAAACUCAUAAUGCGGUUGUAAGAAGUAGUGAGAGCUUAAAUAAAUUAACUUACAAUAAAAUGAAGUAAAAGAAAAAAAUUAAUUUACCCUUACUCGAUAAAUCUUUAGUAUAUUAUUAUUAUUAUUAUUAUUAUUAUUAUUAUUAUAUCUCAAAGUCAAGAUUAUGAACAUGAAAAUUAAACAUAUCGCGCUUCAAUCUUGACAAGACUAAUAUAAAGUGAGGUUUUCCCCUUCUUAUUAUUAAUAUUAUUAUUAUCACUACUACGAUAUCUUUGUUUACACUAAAAUCUUUUCUUUAAUGCCCUCAAAGUCAAGAUUACGAACAUAAAAAGCAUGUCACACUUCAAUGUUCACAAGACUAAUACAAAAUGAGGUUUCCUCCUAAAUUUAUUAUUACCAUUACAUAUCUUUGUUUACACUAAAAUCCUAUCUUUAAUACCCUAAAAGUCAACAUUAGGAACAUGAGAAACAUUUCACUAUUUAAUGUUGACAUGACUAAUACAAAGUGAGGUUUCCCUAAAUUUAUUAUUAUUAUUACAUAUCUUUGUUUUCACUAAAAUCUUAUCUUUAAUACCCUAAAAGUCAAUAUUAGGAACAUGAGAAACAUUUCACAAUUUAAUGUUGACAAGACUAAUACAAAGUGAGGUUUUCCCCUAAAUUUAUUAUUAUUAUUACAUAUCUUUGUUUCCAUUAAAAUCUUAUAUUUAAUACCCUAAAAGUCAAUAUUAGGAACAUGAAAAGUAUAUCACACUUCAAUGUUGACAAGACAUUAUACAAAGUGAAGUAUUAUUUCCAUAAUAUCUUUGCUUACACUAAAAUCUCAUCUUUAAUAUCCUUGAAGUUAAGAUUAUGAGCAUGAAAAAUAUGGCAUACUUCAAUGUUGACAAGAUUAAUACAAAGUGAGGUUUCUUCGUCAAUUUAUUAUUAUUACUACAAUAUCUUCCUACACUAAAAUCUCAUCUUUAAUAGCUCAAAGUUAAUAUUACAAGCAUGAAAGUUCAACAUGCCAUCCUCCAAUCUUAACAAGGCUAAUACAAAUUGUGAUUUCCCUAAUUUUUUUUCCAUUGUCUUUCUUUUUCUUGUACCUGUUGUGAUCGAUUUAGGUCACAAGCCAAAUAAUUGCAAGAAAAUGAACUCACACGUGAAAAUUGAGAAGGAUGAAAUAUUCUCUAACAUUGCACACUCUUAGAAGAAAAAUCAUUUGGUUGACAAUUUUAUUUGAGACUAACAAAUUGACGGAAGGACAUGAUGUGAGGCCAGCUUGUAUAUGCUUUUAUUCAAAUCUAGCCACAUGAUGAAUCCUACAAACUCCUUUCCCAUUUUUUUAUUGCAAUGUUUUAAAUGAUGCCACGUACCUAAAUUCUUGAAAUUUUGAGUCAGUUAAAGACAUGUCUGGAUGGCAUGGAGGAGAGUUAGGGGGCUAUUCGGCUUGUACCCCUUCAAAUUCAGCCUGCUCCAUUAAUUUGAUAGCUAUCGUGAGGUUGCCUAUGAUGCUAAGAUAACCAAAUGUGAUGAGGAUUUCAAAAAGUAUUCGAGUGUACUUCAGUACCAAAUCUGUGAAAUGAUUAUUGAAUGCUACCUAAUUUUGUUUGAAAUUUUCAUUUGAAAUUAAAUAAAUAAAUAUGUGAGGCCUAAAUCUUUUUCCAUCAUAUUGUACUCAUGUUCAAAGUCUGCCACUUCCAUUCAUUUGACAGCUAUAAUGAGGUUGUCUAUGAUGCUAAAAAUGACCAAACGUGAUGAUGAUUUCAAGAAGUAUUCCAGUAUAUUUUAAUUGGCAAUGUUUUAAAGAUAGGUAUCAUUCAUCCUAAAAAUUCAUCCAUUCAUGUUCAUUGCAUGGUCGAAAUGUUAUUAAACAACUAACAUUAUAAAUAUAUAAUUUAUAUUUUAUUAAAAUUAAAAAUAAUUUUUAAAAACUAAUAUGUAUAUAUAUAUAAUUAAAAACCAAUUAUAUUUAUUUUUUAAUCUUUUAUAUAAAUGUACUAAUAAUUAAAAUUUUAUUAAAUAAAAUAUGUAAAAUUUGAAAAUUGAAUAAAAUUUGCAUUAUAUAUAUAUAAAAGUUUAAAAGAUACUAGAUUAUUUUAUUCAUAUUGAAUUUCUGAAAUAAUAUACAUAUUUUUUUCUUUAGUUUCACAAACAUUAACAUUUGGAUAAGUAGCUGAGUAGUUGUUCCUGAAAAUGCUCAAGCACAUAUUAGCAAGAAUGAAGAAUUUGUUUCUAUUCUUUCAUAUUUUACAGUAGACCAAUGGCUAUAUAUAUAUAUUACAAUGUAACUAAUCUAACCAUCUAUUGAACUACCUAACCAUCUUCUAACUAAUCAUAACAACAUCUGUUAGAGAGGAGAAGAAUCAGCUGCUGGUGCGGGUGCUUGUCUAUCAUCCCCCCGCAAGCUGACAGGUCUUGGGACAAUAGAGAAAUGAGUACGAGCGGCUGAGAACUAACAGCUUGGAACAUAUUUAGUAAAGACAUCUGCCAACUGGUCGGUAGAAGGAACAUAUUGAAUUAAAAGCUCUUUGCGAAUGACCUUAUCACGGACAAAGUGAAGAUCAAUCUCUAUGUGCUUGGAACGGGCAUGGAAGACAGAGUUAGCUGCAAGAGGAGCAGCACUGAUAUUGUCACACCAGAUCAAAGGAGUGUUCGGUUGAGGAAUGCACAACUCUUUGAUCAGAAACUGAACCCAGGAGACCUCAACAGCGAGAAAAGCAAGUGCCCGGUACUCCGAUUUUGCACUACUACGAGAGACGACACGUUGCUUGGUAGAGGACCAUGAGAUGAGAUUGGUGCAAAAAAAAAAGACAAAAGCCACUAGUGCUUCUUCUAUCAUCGAGACAUGAAGCCCAAUCCGCAUCGGUAUAGCCUUGAAGAGACCAAGAUGGUGAGGCAUGGAUAGAAAGACCAUGAGUAGCAGUACCUUUGAGAUAGCGAAGUAUGUGUUUAGCAGCUUGCAGAUGAGAAGUGAUAGGAUGAGCCAUGUAUUUACAAGCUUGAUUUACUGCAAAUGAGAUUUUUGGUCUUGUGAGAGUGAUGUACUGAAGAGCACCCACAAGACUGUGAUAGUGAGUAGCAUCAAGAGCAGAUAAAGGUUCUCCAUCUGCUGCUGAUAACAAUUUUCCCAAAGCACCAAGUGUGCUAGCAGAUUUGGCCCCAAGAAGAUCAGCACGCUCAAGUAGCUGAUGUAUGUAGCGUUGUUGAUUGAGAUGAAGAACAUGAGGAAGCCGGGUGACUUCAAUGCCAAGGAAGUAGCUAAUAUCUCCAAGGUCUUGAAGAGCAAAAUGGGAGCUAAGCUGAGAAAUGAUAUGAUGGACCUGUGGUGGAUUGUUGCCAGUAAUGAGAAUAUCAUCCACAUAGAUUGAGAUGAUGAUAAUAUCAGAUGCAGAGUGGAAAUAAAAUAAAGAUGCAUCAGCCCUUGAGCAUUGGAAUCCCAAUUGUAAGAGAAAGGAGCUGAGCUUGUGGAACCAGGCUCGAGGCGCUUGUUUAAGGCCAUAGAGAGCCUUCUGUAGACGACAAACAUGAGUGGGGCAAGAGCUAUCUUCAAAGCCUAGAGGUUGCAUCAUGAACACCUGUUCUUAAAGAUCUCCAUUUAAAAAAGCAUUGUGGACAUCUAGUUGUUUAAUAGGCCAGUUGGAAGAGACAACAAUGGAGAGAACAAGCCUGAUAGUGCAAGGCUUCACAACUGGACUAAAUGUCUCAAAAAAAUCAAUGCCAUAGGUUUGAUGAAAACCUUGGGCAACCAGCUGAGCUUUGUACCUGUCAAUGCUGCCAUCAGGUUUAUGUUUGAGUUUGAAGACCCAUUUACACCCAAUAAUUUUGGCAUUAGAUGGAGGUGGCACCAAAGACCAAGUUUGAUUCUUCAAUAGAGCUUGAUAUUCUUGUUCCAUAGCAAGCUUCCAAUUAGGGUCUUGAAAAACCUGUUUGACAGUACGUGGCUCAGCUAUGAGUGAGGUAAGAUAGGUCUUCUUCUUAUAGAUACCAAAUUUGGAUCUGGUAAUCAUAGGAUGACUAGGAAUUGGAGCUAUGGAAUCCUGGAGGGAAGCAGUAGAAAUCUCAGCUGCUUCAUCCACAAAUGGCACCUGAAUGAGCGGGGGUAAAGACAAAAAGCUGGCUAGAGGUGAUGUGGGGGCAAGUUCGGAUGGGAUAGCCGGAGAAGAGCUGGUUGUGGAGGGGAAAAGAACAGAAGAUGGAGGAAAAAGAAAUGCUGGAGUGACAGGAAAAUGAGAUGAUUGGUGGGAAGGAGAAGUCAAUGCUUGAAAUGGAAAUGUAGUCUCUACAAAGACUACAUGCCUAGAGAUAUAUACUCUGCCAGUUGUAAGAUUAAGGCAAAAAUAACCCUUGUGAAAUGUUGCAUAACCAAGAAAGAUACAGGGUAUGGACUAUGGCUGAAAUUUGUUGGAGUUGAGAUGUCUGAGGUGUGGAUAACAAAGACAACCAAAGACUUUGAAAUGGAAAUAAUCAGGUGGGUGUUUGUAAAGAAGAGAAAAUGGGGAGCUGUAAUUGAGCAAAGGAGAAGGCAUGCAAUUGAUAAGGGUAAUUGUUGUAGUGAAAGCAUAGGACCAAAAUUUGGAUGGCAGGGCAGUUGUGUAAAGAAGAGUGAGCCCGAUUUCUACAACAUGGCGCAUUUUGCGUUCAACCCGACCAUUUUGUUCAGGUGUAUAAGGGCAAGAAAAUCUAUGGAGUAUACCAUGAAGAGAUAGAAACCGGAGGGUAGUGAACUUUCCACCAUGGUCUGUUUGAAGGCAUUUAAUGGUGGUCUGAAAUUGGUUUUCAACAAGAGUUUUAAAUUGAACAAAAGUGGAGUAAACCUGGUCCUUGGUGAGGAGUAAAUAUAUCCAUACAAACCUAGAGUAAUCAUCCAUGAGCAACAAAAAAUACCAGGCACCUGCGGAGGAAGGAACAGGUGUUGGUCCCCACAAGUUUGCAUGGAUGAGUUCAAGAGGAGAGGAGGCCCGGGAAGUGGACAAAGAAAAAGGAAUUUUGUGACUUUUGGCAUAACAACAAGCAUUGCAAACAUCAAUUGUUUUAUUUGAGUUAUAUGAAAUAUUACAUGUAUGAAAAAUUUUCUGAAGUAUUAUAGCAGAAGGGUGGCCAACUCGUUGAUGCCACAACAUAGUAGUGGGCUGAGUUUUUGUGAGAAACACUUGAUGUUUAGAAUUGGCAGUAGGUGAGUUGAUAGAUGAGGUAGGAAAUUUGUAGAGUCCACGUUCAAGUUGGCCUUGGAGAAGAGUCACUUUGGUAUCCUUGUCCUUGACAAAAAAUGAAAAAGGAUGAAAUUCAAGAAUGGUAUUAUUAUCAGUACAGAAUUUUGACACACUGAUGAGAUUUGAAGUGAGUUGUGGAACAUGAAGCACAUUGUGUAAAACAAAGGGUUUAGCAGAAAUGUGGAGAAAGGAAUGACCAACUUGGGUUAUGGGUAGGGACUUACCAUUGCCAACCAUCACAGAGUCAGUACCAUUGUAUGAAGUACCAUUGUGGAUAUUAGCAACUGUGUGGGAGAGAUGGUGGGUGGCGCUUGAAUCCAAAAACCAGGAGUCCGUUGAUGCUGGGGAAGGUGCUGCCAUCAUGGCUUGAGCAGGAGGAGUGGGACCAGUUUGAGAGGUUGAUGAGGCUGGUGCAUGUGGCCCUUGAUAAUUCACAUCAAAUCUGUGAUAACAAGAGAGGACCAUGUGCCCAAACUUGCCACAUAACUGACACUGUGGUUGGUUAUUUGUCCGGGAUCGAUUAUUGUUGAAUCGGUUAGGGCGAUAUCCUUGAGGAUGUUGCUGUCGUGAAUUUGGAAGAGUGUCAGGUCGUGGGGUUGGCAUGAAUGACUGAGGUGGUUUCCCUUGAGAGGGUUUGAUGGACUGUGACCUUCGUGGUCUGUUAUGAGUUGCAAUAUUGGCAAUGAGGAGGUCUUCUUCAGCAGUUGUGGUUUGAAGAUGCAGCCUCUAUUCAUGAGUCAGAAGGAUGCUAUGUACCGCAUGAAGUUGAAGGUCAUCAUCUCUAGCUGUGAGAGAAGCCAUGAUGGGGUUGUAUUCAACCCCUAGUCCACUUAGUAAUUGAAGAAUUUGAUCCUUUUCUGGCACUGGUUCUCCAAUAGCUGCUAGACUAUCAGAGAUGUGUUUGAGUUUUUGGAUGUAUUCCAUCAUGGUAAGAGGGCCUUUUUUGGUUGUUUGAAAAGCAAGUCUCAGCUGCAUUGUUCUUGCUUUGGUGGAAGCAGAGAAGCUUCAUUGGAGGGUUGUCCAUGCUUCAUGGGAUGUUCGUAGCCCAACAAUUUGGCCCAUAACAUCUGGAGUGAGAGAGGAGUAGAUCCAACUCAGGAUCAUACGAUCAUAUCUCCUCCAAACCAGAAAAUCUGGGUUCACUUCUCCGGUGGAUAUUAUUUUUGGAGGACAUGGUCUCAGACCUUCAAUAUAGUCCUCAAAUCCAUUGGCAUAUAUCACAUUUUCCAUUUGUGUAUGCCAAAGGAUAUAGUUAUCUCUAUCUAGUUUGAUAGGAAGAGGAUGGUUCAGCAUGCUCAUGUUCAGGGUAGAGGUUACCUGAGAAGAGACAAUCUCCGGCGUGGUUUGUGUUGAUGAAGCCAUCGGAAACUAGGUACAGUAUGUUCUUGAAGCUUUCUUGAGGUGAGUAAGAAAAGCAAAAGGUAAUCUGCAGAUGAUGUAUAUCAGAAGAAAGUUGCAGUAGAAAGAGUUGUUGGAGAUUUCUUUAUUGUCUUGCUGGGGAGAGAAAUCAAAAAACGAAAAUUCAUGAGCCUAUGGCUCUGAUACCAUGAAAAUGCUCAAGCACAGAUUAGCAAGAAUGAAGAAUCUGUUUCUAUUCUUUCUUAUUUUACAGUAGACCAAUGGCUAUAUAUAAAUAUUACAGUGUAACUAAUCUAACCAUCUAAUCAUCUAUUGAACCACCUAACCAUCUUCUAACUAAUCAUAACAGCAUCUGUUAGAGAGGAGAAGAAUCAGUUGCUGGUGCGGGUGCUUGUCUAUCAGUUCCAAGUUACCUUAAACCUUGAAAGGAUCAAGUCCUUUUGAUUUUGUUUAAAUAAGCUACUAAGCUACUGCUCACUCCACAUUGGAAAUUCAAGGGGAUGAAAAAAGGUUUAUAAAUCUCAUUCAUCUCCAACAGGUCACAUGGCCUUUAGGCCGUGGGAGGCAAUGCGGUGAGUGGGUCGUGUGCUCUAAAUGGAGGCCUAUUUUUGCAACAAAAGAAAGACCGAAACCAAACCAAGCAUGAACCAAAUCGGAUCAAGAUCCAGUCGACGGUCUGACUAGUUCAGUAGGAAUUUUUCAUAAUAUGGUUUAAUGGCAUGUAGAUAUUCUUUAGUCAAAGUUUUAAUAAGCCCAUCAAAAGUUGUAAUAUUUUAUGUUAUAAGUUAAUAGAGAAUAUUUUUUACUUUAAAUUUUUGUUGGUAUUUUCCCAUAAUCUAUAGUUAUUAAGGCAUUGAUAUUUUCUCAAAUUAUAGAAUUAAGUUCUAAAACAACAUUUAUUUUGACAUAGAUGAACAUUUGAAAGAUUAUAAUUUAUCUUUAACUUAUUUUUCUUUAUAACCAAAAUCUUUUCUCUCGAUUUUUCAUAAUAUUUGAUUAUGAUUAAUUAUUCAUGCAUACAAUCUAGGUCUGAAUCUAUUAUCUUCAACACUUAUUUUUAUUUUUUUAUGUCAUGUUUGAAAAUUUACUUUAGAUAGUAAGUCAAUAAAUGUUUCUAAAGGUAAAUGAGUGUUUGGUAUUAUGAUUCUUAGAUCUUGACUAGUAAGGGAUUCUUUAUAAUUUGUUCAUUUUAUUACUUGAGCUAAUUUAAUUCUCUAUUUAUUAAUUUCUUAUAUUUCAUCAUGUAAAUUUUGAAUAGUUAUAAGUUUGUGAAUAGUUUUGAAUCUAUUAAAUAUUUCAUCUAUAAUAUUGAUUAGAUUUGGGUUCUUGAAGUCUACUUAUCUCUUUAAUUUGUAAGAAUUAAAUCUUUUAAAUAUAACAAAUAUUGAAUUUUUAUGUUGAAUCCUCUAUUUUAUGACAUCAAAAAAUAUUUAUUUAUUUACUUUUGAAUAAAUCAUAUUUAUUAUUUUAUAUGAACAAACAUACUCACUUUCACAUUCAUUUUCAUCAUUAGAGUCUUCUAGACUAAUUAUAUUGGUUUAAUGUGUCUAGUAUUUGUGAUAAAUUUCAUAAAAAUAUUCAAGUGUAAAUAUUAAACUACAUAGUAUACUGUCACAUAUGACACAUUUCAAAUAGUAAAGACUAAAACCAUAAUUAAAGAUAACUUAGGUUUUAUUUUUUUUGUCAAAAAUAUUAUAAUUUUAAUUAAUUGAAUUAUUAAUUUUUCAAAAAUUUAGAAAAAAUAAAAAAUAGUAUUUUAAAAUUUGGCUCUCUUGAAAAUCAUGAGAGGAUAAAAAUUGGUAAAAAAAUAAAUAAAUUUAGAAAAGGUUAUUGAGAUUAAUUAAGUACAUCCUUGCCAUGAUAUUUAAUAUUUUUUUUAUGUUUUAUAAAUAGGGUAAAUGGACAUCGUUCUAAAUACAGGAAGAUGAUAUUAUUAUAUAUAAAAAAAAUGUAAAAAUAGUGAGUAAUAUUAUUAAAAAUAUCUCAUGGAAUGGGGCAAGAUAAAGGGCCAAAAAAAAAAAAAUUAGAGAAGAAAGAAGAAAAAGAAGAGUGUUGUAAGCACAGGAAGUCAAAAGUACUGUAUAAGCGUGAUUCAUCCCUGUUUCCUACUUCGAUUAUAAAGUAUGGACAGAGAUACAGAAAAAAAAAAAGAGAAGAAGCAGCAUUCAGCUUUCACCAGUGCAGAGUGGUAUGGUGGUGUAGCAUAUGUUUGGUUGUUAUUCUUGCUCCAAACAAGUGUGAGCUGAUCCAUUUCUAUACUCAUUUUUGUUAUCUCAGUCGACUGAUUCGUUUAGUGGGCCUGGUGUUAGCCAAAAGCUAGCCACCAAUUUUCUUUGCUUUAUCCCAUUACAUUAGAAUAAAAAGAAAAUGGAGGUUUGAGAGGGCCAUUGGGACCAUUGGGACCAUUAUCAGUUGUCUUUUGUUUUCAAGUUGUAAGAAGUCCUGUCAAGGUUUAUGUCAUUUGCUAUGUUGUUUCUGUUCCAUUUUCAGUUCAAAGAGUGGUAGAGUAGAGAAGGAGGCAUGGCUCAGACAUUUGGGUGCAGCUCUGGAGAUAGUAGAUGGUCUCUCAAGGGAAUGACUGCUCUUGUAACUGGUGGAACUAAAGGAAUUGGGUUGGUGUUACCUGUUUUUAUGUCUUUGGGUUUGGACUAUACCUUCCUAUAUAUAAACGUAUGUAUCAAUUCUGCAGGCAUGCAAUUGUGGAGGAACUGGCUGGAUUAGGAGCAACCAUACACACGUGUUCUCGAAAAGAAACUGAGCUCAAUGAAUGCUUGAAGGAUUGGAAAGCUAAAGGUUUUGGAGUGAGUGGUUCAGUGUGUGAUGUAUCCUCUCGGGCACAAAGGGAGAAGCUAAUGGAGACUGUCUCUUCUGUGUUCAAAGGGAAGCUGAAUAUCCUUGUAAGUUCCUCUAGUCUCUAAGGUUCCUAUCCAUGAUAUUCCACAUACUUUGUCGAACUUCCUACAAUUUGAGUUCCCCUACUUGAUAUAUAUAUUUUGGUUCCGGAUUCAGGUCAACAACGCUGCUAUUGUUAUUCAGAAACCAACAGUAGAGGUCACGGCAGAAGAGUUCUCAACAAUCAUGGCCAUAAAUUUUGAAUCUGUGUAUCAUCUGUCCCAACUCGCACACCCCCUUUUAAAGGCAUCAGGAGCGGGAAGCAUUGUAUUCAUCUCCUCUGUUGCCGGCGUAGUGUCAGUCAAGUAUCUGUCUGCUUAUGCAGUAACCAAAGGUAUUUCAUUACAUGAUCCACAGUAUAUAUAUAUAUCGCAAGUUCUUGGGUUGUGGCCCUUGUGGCCUUCUCGGCGUGUCAUUAUCAUUAUCAUUUUGUGAUUUUUCAGGAGCAAUGAAUCAACUUACAAAGAAUUUGGCAUGCGAGUGGGCGGAAGACAAUAUUAGAAGUAAUGCAGUUGCUCCUUGGUGCAUCAAAACUCCGAUGGUGGAUCAGGUAAUUCAGUUGCUCUUCUUUUUUGUCUGGGAAAAUUCAAUAAUCAAUUCCUCUCUCUUUUCUGUCUUUUGCAUAAUCUGGGUUGCAGAUGCUCAGUAACAAAACCUUUCUGGAAGGGGUGAUAAAUCGAGCUCCACUUCGCCGUGUGGGAGAUCCGAAGGAGGUGUCAUCUUUGGUGGCAUUCCUCUGUCUACCAGCAUCAUCUUACAUUACUGGACAGACUAUUUGUGUUGAUGGUGGCGUGACUGUUAAUGGUUUUGAGCCAAACCUGUUCUAGGAACAUCAUUAAGACUCUAAAAAAUCUUAGCUUCUUCUACCGCUUUCCUGUUUGGAUCCUGUCUUUUUCCUGAAUAAUAUGUUUGUGGUGGUAAGUACUCUUCUGUUUUUUCGGUGUGGGGUUCAUUUGAAAACAUUGUUGCAUGAUGCUUAUAAUAAUCGUUGGAAAGUUGGAAGAAGUUACUUAUCAUUGGAUGAGAUUCUUGUGAUGGGUGUUUCCUAUAAUCAGAUUUAUCUUGUUAUAAGGUUGUUGUUGUUGUAGUAAUAGGAUUGAAAGAGAAAUGCAAAUAAUCGUAAAAGGAUGAUGAAAAUUCAUCAUUUUUACUUAUUCAAAUAUUACACCAUCUCUAAUUUACAAUGAAUUUCAAUGAGUGCAAGUGAAACCAACCUUAAAAUAAUUUUGUUUGAUAAAUUUAGAUGAAAUUCAACCAGUGUGAAUCUUUAAAUUUUUUUUUUCAUUUCCAUUAAAGAUUAUUGUAAAUGAAAAAAAAUUAAAGUCAAAAAUACAUGUAGCAAUGAGACGAAGGAAAGCGGGUUCUAUCAUCUAUCACACAUCAUGGAAAAAGCUGUGGUACCAUGGCUUUUCCAGGACUUUUCCUUGCAUAAUGUUACCGUAUGCUAAUGUUUUGUCACUCAAAGAUAUUUUAAUAUAAAGUAGCGCGGAUAUACUAUAAACAUUCAGUUACGCCAUGUAACACGUUAGCCAAUAAGGUUACAAAUUUUAAUUUUAUAUUAAUAAUAUGAUUGGGUAUGCUCUAUAUUUUAAAAUAUAAUUGAAUCACAUAUAUCUAGAACUAGAAAUCCUUUUGAGGGACCAAUAACAUAAACCAUUAAAAUUUUAUAAUUUGAUAUUAUAAAUUCCUAUUAAAUUUUAAAAUAUAUUAAAUUUAUUUGAUAUAAAUAUAUAUAAAAAUAAAGAAAAAAUUUAUAUUUUCAUAUGAUAAAUUAUACAAAAGAAAAGCAAAUAUUUUUUUUUUAUCAAAAUUGUUUUCAACAAUAUUUCAAAUAUAUAUAUAAAUUUGGGAAACUUGUAUUUUGGAGCUGCUAUUUAGAAAUUAUAUGGUUUUCGGAACCCAAAAAUGGGAAAUAUGAGAAUCAAUUUUUAAUAUGAAAGGUAUUAUCGUUUUUGUGCACUCUGAGUCGGCUCCAUCUUUUGUGCCCAAAUUGUCCCUCCAUGUUUCCAACACAUUAUCUUAGCAUCAUUCCAACCUCCAUGUCAGUACGACCAUUGAAAUUUAGAAAAAAAAACACUAAAAUCUAAAUUUGUAACUUCUCAAAAAAAAAAAAAAAAAAACAAAACAAAACCUAAUAUGCAAGUUUUCAAUUUGCUCAUUUGGAAGUUUUCUCUCAUCUUUCUUCAGUCCCAACAAUCCAAAAUUUCUCUCAUUUUAGUUCAAAAACUCAAAUCCAAAACUCCAAAUGUGAUACAUUGUGGAAUUGUUUUCAUAGUCCUUAACAAGAUACAUGCAGCAUGUAUUGAACUUUAACCUAAUUCCUUCUACCAAUUUUUCUGGCCCCAAGUUACUGGGGACUAUGGUUCCGAUUGGGUGGUUUUUGAGUAGUCAAAAACCAUUUUUAAAGCUUAGUAAAAAAAUUUAUGCCGCUCAUUUUAUUUAAACAAUUUAUAACUUAAAAAAUAAGAAAAAAAAAUGUUUUUUAAAGCUUUAUUUUGACUAAUUCAAAAAGCUUUUUUUUUUUUUUUUUUAUGUUUGAUACAUUUUUUAUAAUAUCAAUAUUAUUUUUUAAAAAUGGUGACUUUUAGCUUUUAAUUAAAACUAAGAACAAGAAGUUAUUCUAAAUAUGACUUAUGUAUUCAUUCAGUGAAAGUAAUUUUUUCAUUUAAAAAAAGUAAUUUCUUGGUGAUAAAAAGAAAUAUUUUUUUAGUAGCUUUUUGAUGCUAUAAAAAAAGUGUUGGCUAAGUUUGUAUGAUAAAAUUGGUGUUAUUUAUAUACCUGCACUUUCGCUAGGGUCUUAUUUAUUGGGAAACUUGUGUUUAAUAUGCUCAAUUCUAUUUCUUUGUAUGGCUAUGCAAUUGUUUGGAUUUGGCAACACUAAUCAAUAAAUGUACUUUAUAUUUGAAACAUUGGAAUAAAAAAAGAGAAUAAGAGUUAAUUUUAUUUUCAAUUUAUUAAUAUAUUUUAAUUAUUUUUUACAAUGAUGAUAGAAUUAAAAAGAAAAUCACUUAGUAACUCUUAGGUACUACCUUAAUAUACCUUAGUAACCUUAAUCUAUCUUAGGUAUUAUCUUAGUUACACUUGGGUACUACCUAUGUGAAGUCUCAAAACUUCAUUUGUGGACAUUACUUACUUCAUGUGUGAACAUUAGAGCAUGACAUUAUGCGCACCUUUAAUAAGUGUUACUAAGGUAGUACCUAAGGUACAGUCAACACUAUAUCAAAGGUGCACUUAAUGUCAUGCUCUAAUGUUCACAAAUGAAGUUUUGAGGCUUCACAUAGGUAGUACCCAAGUCUAAUUAAGAUAGUACUUAAGGUCGGUUAAGGUAGAUUAAGGUAAUACCUAAGAGUUACUAAGGUAAUACCUAAGGUACAAUCACCACUAUAUCAAAGGGGCACAUAAUGUCAUGCUCUAAUGUUCACAAAUAAAGUAAGUAAUGUCCAUAAAUAAAAUUUCGAGGCUUCACACAGGUAGUACCCAAGUUUAAUUAAGAUAGUACCUACAAUCAGUUAAAAUAGUACUUAAGAUAAAUUAAUGUAGUACCUAAAAGUUACUAAGGUAUAGUAAAUACUAAAGAACAAUAUAUAAAAAUUAAUUACCUUCGUAUUUCAAGUAGGGGUUAGGGAAAAAUGUGAUAGAAUGAUAGGAAGACGAGACAUUUUUUUAAGGAAACCAAUAUUUUGGAUUUCAGCUUUUCGUCCAAGUAUGCUUUGCUAUAGCAAAAUCAAUAUCAUAGUUAUAUUUUAACUGGAUGUUCUUAGGAUGG